rnacentral:hammerhead_ribozyme from 1 species
GCACUGCUGAGGAGUCCCAUAAUAGGACGAAACAGCCGUGCAGAGC